rnacentral:rRNA from 1 species
GUGGGGAAUCUUGCGCAAUGGGCGAAAGCCUGACGCAGCCAUGCCGCGUGAAUGAUGAAGGUCUUAGGAUUGUAAAAUUCUUUCACCGGGGACGAUAAUGACGGUACCCGGAGAAGAAGCUCCGGCUAACUUCGUGCCAGCAGCCGCGGUAAUACGAAGGGGGCUAGCGUUGCUCGGAAUUACUGGGCGUAAAGGGCGCGUAGGCGGACAGCUUAGUCAGAGGUGAAGGCCCAGGGCUCAACCUUGGAAUUGCCUUUGAUACUGGCUGUCUUGAGUUUGGGAGAGGUGAGUGGAACUCCGAGUGUAGAGGUGAAAUUCGUAGAUAUUCGGAAGAACACCAGUGGCGAAGGCGACUCACUGGCCCAAUACUGACGCUGAGGCGCGAAAGCGUGGGGAUCAAACAGGAUUAGAAACCCGUGUAGUCC